rnacentral:rRNA from 1 species
AGCAGCCGCGGUAAUUCCAGCUCCAAUAGCGUAUAUUAAAGUUGUUGCAGUUAAAAAGCUCGUAGUUGAAUUUCGGGGUCAGUAGGUUGGUCAUGCCUUUGGUAUGUACUGGUCUCACUGAUUCCUCCCUCUUGAAGAACUGUAAUGUCAUUAAUUUGGUGUUGCGGGGAAUCAGGACUGUUACUUUGAAAAAAUUAGAGUGUUUAAAGCAGGCUUACGCUUGAAUACAUUAGCAUGGAAUAAUGAAAUAGGACGUUUGAUCCUAUUUUUGUUGGUUUCUAGGAUUGACGUAAUGAUUAAUAGGGAUAGUUGGGGGCAUUAGUAUUCAAUUGUCAGAGGUGAAAUUCUUGGAUUUAUUGAAGACUAACUACUGCGAAAGCAUUUGCCAAGGAUGUUUUCAUUAAUCAAGAACGAAAGUUAGGGGAUCGAAGACGAUCAGAUACCGUCGUAGUCUUAACCAUAAACUAUGCCGACUAGGGAUCGGAUGAUGUUAAUUUUUUAAUGACUCAUUCGGCGCCUU